rnacentral:tRNA from 1 species
GUGGGUAGAGCUCAGUGGUAGAGCAUGUGCUUAGCAUGCAUGAGGUCCUGGGUUCAAUCUCCAGCACCUACA